UGGGGAAUAUUGGACAAUGGGCGCAAGCCUGAUCCAGCCAUGCCGCGUGGGUGAAGAAGGCCUUCGGGUUGUAAAGCCCUUUUGUUGGGAAAGAAAAGCAGUCGGUUAAUACCCGAUUGUUCUGACGGUACCCAAAGAAUAAGCACCGGCUAACUUCGUGCCAGCAGCCGCGGUAAUACGAAGGGUGCAAGCGUUACUCGGAAUUACUGGGCGUAAAGCGUGCGUAGGUGGUGGUUUAAGUCUGUUGUGAAAGCCCUGGGCUCAACCUGGGAAUUGCAGUGGAUACUGGGUCACUAGAGUGUGGUAGAGGGUAGCGGAAUUUCCGGUGUAGCAGUGAAAUGCGUAGAGAUCGGGAGGAACAUCCGUGGCGAAGGCGGCUACCUGGACCAACACUGACACUGAGGCACGAAAGCGUGGGGAGCAAACAGGAUUAGAUACCCUGGUAGUCCACGCCCUAAACGAUGCGAACUGGAUGUUGGGUGCAAUUUGGCACGCAGUAUCGAAGCUAACGCGUUAAGUUCGCCGCCUGGGGAGUACGGUCGCAAGACUG
rnacentral:rRNA from 1 species